rnacentral:misc_RNA from 1 species
GGACUACGGGGGUAUCUAAUCCUGUUUGCUCCCCACGCUUUCGUGCAUGAGCGUCAGUACAGGUCCAGGGGAUUGCCUUCGCCAUCGGUGUUCCUCCGCAUAUCUACGCAUUUCACUGCUACACGCGGAAUUCCAUCCCCCUCUACCGUACUCUAGCCAUGCAGUCACAAAUGCAGUUCCCAGGUUGAGCCCGGGGAUUUCACAUCUGUCUUACAUAACCGCCUGCGCACGCUUUACGCCCAGUAAUUCCGAUUAACGCUCGCACCCUACGUAUUACCGCGGCUGCUGGCACGUAGUUAGCCGGUGCUUAUUCUUACGGUACCGUCAUGGGCCCCCUGUAUUAGAAGGAGCUUUUUCGUUCCGUACAAAAGCAGUUUACAACCCGAAGGCCUUCAUCCUG